rnacentral:lncRNA from 1 species
AGUUGUGAGUUUAAAUAUAAGCAUCCACUUCGAAGGAACUAACGCUUACAAAGGUAUAGAGAAGUUUGAAGCCAGAUAGACAGCCUUCAGCACCUAUACAGAGAACUGACCCUCUGACAAAGGAUUCUGCUGGAACAAGAGGUCAGGCCCAUCACUGCAGGCAGAGGCAUGCUGGAGGAAGAGGGGCAGAGAAGAAUUGACAGAACUUCCCCAGCAGAGGCUGCCAGAGGCCACACAGUUCCUCACACUGGUGUCACCUGCUUUAAGGAUGAAGAUGCCGAGAGGCAGGCACGUGGCAUACCGCAAAUGGCAACUUACAGGAUGCCCUGGAGACUCAGGUUUUUCUUUAAAAGUGUGUCUGAGGAAGUGAGAGUGUGGCCCCUCCUUACCCGUUGGAACAGUUCUCCUCCAGGCAGGCCCAAGAAAGUUGUGGAAGGGCAGCCAAGCAAGAAACAAGGAUUUAAGCAUUUUUAAACCAGUCCUAUUAGGGUAUAAAGGAGCUUUGAAGUCCAUUCUCGCAUAGCAAUUUCACUGCAACUGACCAUCCACAGUCUAAACAGCACACCGUAACCCACUUUUAGGAAAUAAAACAUGAGGACAAAAUUCAUACUUGCAUGAGGGAAAUCUGGAAGGCUACACAGUGCUAACAGCUAUAGGAGCGGAGGGUUUGCGACUUUGUCCUUUGUAAUAUUCAAUGACAAGAUUAUUUUGAAUUGUGUGAGUACAUUGCUUUUGCAAAACAUUGAGUAUAAAAUAUUUUUUUUUAAAGAAAGACCACUAAGUACUGAAGGAAUUAAAAAAAUGUGGAGCUCAGAGAAACCUCUCCAGCCUUCCAGGCUCCUUGAGGGCUGGAACAGGAAGGACCUGUAAGCCAUUUUGUUUAACUCCCUCCUCAGUGAUGGCCAUAACCUUCCAAUGCCCCUCACUUGGCAACUCCUAGGUUACAUGUCAUGGACAGACAGUGCUGAUCUAGGAGUUGCAACGGGCAGAAAGAACAGGCUCUGACUUCAACAGCCUCUGAGUGUGUCUUAUAGCACCAAGGAAAGUCUAUGAGUUCCAGGACAAAACAGGGGCCCGGAAUUAGGUAAGUGGCAGAGCUCAAAGAACAUUUUCAACCAUCCAAGAGGAUGGAUUAUAUUAGGACUCCAGGAGGAUAGGGUUAACAGACAUAGAGGACUCGCAUGAAGACCCAGACCUGAGUGUGGAGAAUUGCCUGGGUUGGCUGGAGAUCAGGGCAGCAUAGUGGAAUGAUGGUGUAAGAAUCUGUGUGAGAUACUAGUCUAGGGUACUUCUUUUAUAAUUCAGUAGAAAAUAGAGAAUGAUGAAGCCUCACGGGGGGGGGGGGGGGCUUGAUGUAUGCAUGGUCUCUCUACUGCCCUUAGGAGCCCUUUAGAGUGGCUUCCCGGAAACUGUAGGAAAUGAGUUGGACCAGUGCACUCAGAAGAACCUGGAGGCACUCCUGGUGGAGGGGGAAGAUAGUGAGGCUGAUGUUGGCACUAGGAAGGGCUUUGAAUAUGGGGGCUGUGUGGACACUGUGCAUUGAGAAGAUGGCUCUCUCUGCUCUGUUUAGUGUGGUGCCUGGAGCAGGGUUCCAGGUUAGGAGGCCUCCUCCACAUCCUCAGCUCAGACUCUACUUGGUCUGCCAGGUGUUUCCCUAGAGUUUCCUCUCUUCUCUGCGCCUCUGGCAGGAGGUGGCAGCUGUGAUGCCAUUCUUGUUUUACUGUCAUGUGAACUUCACGGCUGGUGGAACAAAUGUUCCCUUCCUGGGACAGUUCCUGUUAGGGUGAAGGGGAAGGAGCCCAGUAUGGGAGGUGGGGUACUAAAUUCCUAAGCCCAGCCUUAGUUACAGCCUGACUUGACAGUUACAGAGAGCAGCCCUCAGAUUUACAGGACACAUUGUGUGAGAAUAGGCUUGGAAGCAGAACUUAGUCCUUUGGCCUUUUUCUCUUGAUGUACCUCACAGUUUCUGUCAAAUAAUUCUAAUUUUUAUUGAGCACAUGCUAUGUAUCCUGUACGGUGUUAUUCAUGGAUAUGAGCUUUGGCCUUCAACUAGCCUAUGAGGGAUGCUACCAUUAACUAAGUAUAUUCAGAUGGGAAAUUGGUGGUUGGAGAGAUCCAACAAUUCUUGUAAUUCUCACUUAAAUUGUUGUUGUAGCAUCAGAAUGUGACUCUAGGUCAGAUAGUACACAUCUGUCCAAAUAUUAGGAGUCCCUUUAAAAUUACUUAUGAAAAUACUCGUUUGGGGGCCAGGUACGGAGAUCAGUGGGUAAAAGUGCCAGUCACACAAAGGUGGUGACCUCAGUUCACUCCUCUGAGCCAUGUGAAAAGCCAAGUGCAAAGACCCAUUGCCUGCAAUCCCAGAAAUUCUAUCUGGAGAUGUGGGACUUACCAGAAGAUCACAGGUAGCUAUCAGAAACAAGAGAGACGCAAUCCAAUCAAAUGGCAAGAAGCUACGUUGUUUUCUGACUUCACACAUGUGCCUUGGCACACAGCCAUCCCCUCCCUGACUAAAUAAAUAAAUAAAUAAAUAAAUAAA